UGGGGAAUAUUGGACAAUGGGCGAAAGCCUGAUCCAGCCAUGCCGCGUGUGUGAAGAAGGUCUUCGGAUUGUAAAGCACUUUAAGUUGGGAGGAAGGGCAUUAACCUAAUACGUUAGUGUUUUGACGUUACCGACAGAAUAAGCACCGGCUAACUCUGUGCCAGCAGCCGCGGGAAUACAGAGGGUGCAAGCGUUAAUCGGAAUUACUGGGCGUAAAGCGCGCGUAGGUGGUUUGUUAAGUUGGAUGUGAAAUCCCCGGGCUCAACCUGGGAACUGCAUUCAAAACUGACUGACUAGAGUAUGGUAGAGGGUGGUGGAAUUUCCUGUGUAGCGGUGAAAUGCGUAGAUAUAGGAAGGAACACCAGUGGUGAAGGCGACCACCUGGACUAAUACUGACACUGAGGUGCGAAAGCGUGGGGAGCAAACA
rnacentral:rRNA from 1 species